rnacentral:lncRNA from 1 species
CCUGGGUUCAGCUUUCCCUGUGAGAAGGACACAUAUAACAAUAAGAAAUUAAGGGCUCGGGAAGGAGAGGGGCCACCCUGUGCUCACCCCCACACAGCCCUGCAGGAAAACCCAGUGAACGGUGCCCAGGUUGGAGUCCGGAGGUGACUGAUUUGCUGGCAAGGUUUUCUCUCUUCCUCUGUAAAGUGGAGUCCUUCAUCAUUCAUCGCAAGUAGACAACUGGCUUCCUAAUGCCUCUGCAUCAAGGAGCCAGGCGCUGCAGCUCUUCGGUGCGUGAUCUCAAAUAGAUUCAUGCGUUCUUCUGCUGACACGGUGGCAGAGAGGGAAGGGUCCCGCCAGGUGGGGGCCUGAGAGCCACCGGGCUGCGGUGCGCGAGUGUGGACACCGCCCCCGCCUUCUGCGUCUACAGCCCCGGGUUCCGGGACCUUUGGAAACCGCUUCGGAAGAAGCUGAGCAUCUCUUUCCCCACGCUGACCUCCCCCAUAGACUCCGGAUGGGGGUAAAUGAGGCUCCUGGGAAAUCCAGAAACUUCACUCUAGAGAAGCUUGUUUGCCAAACCUUGCUUUGGGCGGUGGAGACAGAAUAUCAUGUCCCGGAUCAGCGUGUGGUGACUGUGGAGGCAUUUACACACAGCGCACUCCAGCUCUGCCACUGGGCCGGCUGAGGUGGCUGCGGUACACGGCGCCCAUCCUGAGCCCCAGGUUCCUCACAUGUCAACAGCAUGAAAAGUGCCUCUAAGACAUCCACAGGUGUGCAGUGUUAAAGCAGGCAGCGCCUCAGCUUGGUCAGCUCCCUUAAGGACUGCGGCUCCCUUAGGACAAGGCUCUGUCCCUCAGAGCACUGAGUGCGAUCUCAUGCUGGCAUCUUAGAGACAUUGUAUUCACCAGGUGAGAUGGAUUCACAUCUGCUGGGCGCACGAACACUUCCUCCUUCCUUGCCACCAGCCAGCAUCACAACCAGCCUAGCCAGGCUCCCGUCCCAGCCCAGCCUAGCAGCUAACCCCAGCUCCAUCCCCCAGCAAGCCCCUCUGCCUGCGCCUCAGCUUCUUCAUGGAAGACGAGUCAGGUCAUGAUGCCACCAGGGAGCGUGUUUCCAUGUUGAACUGAGACACUAAGCCCUUGACAAAUGUUGGCCAAGAAAAAAAGGGGCUCCAAGAGGGGAGCUGUGGCUCAGGUAGAAGACGGUGAAUGAGCAUUGCCUGAAUCAGAGUUAGCUACUCUGGUUAUGCAGGUGUCCCCGGCGGGUUGGUCAAAAGCCCUUCCCUGAGUCCUGUGACAAGUGUGGGGAGGGAGGCAAAUCAAAGACCCCUACACACCUCCUGCAUGGAUGGCCAGAGCGCUGGUCCCACCUCCUUCCUUCCAAACUGCAACCCCGAUCAGCACAGCAGAGAAGUCUCCUGUGGCAGGGACCAGUAAUUCAGUGCUUCCCCUGGAGAGUCUGGGAUUGCACAGAACACCAGAGGCUGGGGAUUUAUUUGUUCACCAACAUUCAUUCAACAAACACUUACUGAGGCCAACACUGGGAAUGGAGACGAACUUCUCUGUCCUCAUGGAGCUUGCUUUCAAAAGGGAAGGAGGCAGACAGUAAACAAAACAAGCAAGUCAGUAUACAGCAUGAUGCAGAAAAGGUGUGAUGCCACCCUCUUGCCUGAGUUUAUAACAAGCAGAUGAUGUUGUCCUAAGAAUUAAUUUCAGCCGGUGAAAGAGUACAGGCAAAAAACGUGGUCUCGGACUUUCCGGUGAUGCUUAAGAACAUAGUUGCAGUUUUUGUUCUGAUUCUUUGUGCAUCUCGCGCUAAUGAAGGAUUCUGCCAUGAUUGCCACCUCUGGAGACGUCACAGCCAGCACAGCCAUGACCAGGGAUGAACUUGGCCAUUGUCCAGCAGCACCAUGGGAGGACCAGCUGCUGUAAGUGAAGGUCAUCAUCCAUUUGAUUUGCUGGCUUUUUGCCACUACUGCGGUGGAAGUCUUAGAGUAGCCACCUUCUCUGUACUCAGACCUUCACUUCGCCAGAUGUCAGCACAGCAGUGUCAGCAGCUUCGUCAAACACAAACACCACCACCUCUCUGGAUCAGAAGCACAUGGAAAGCCCACCUUGCAAGAAGACCCAGCUAUUCCAAAAGCACCCAUAUCCCUGUAGCAUCCUCUUAGCUGAAUGUCUCUACUCCUUAAACUUGUACCCCUUUGAAGAGUAAAAAUUUAAAUUCAUUCAUAUUAUCAUUUUUUAGUUUUUAGUAUAAGUGGAGCUGUUUAUUGGCCAUUUGUAUGUCCUUUUUUUUUUUUUUUGCAAAUUACUCCUUUGCCAAAUUUUCUCUCAAAUGACUCAUCUUUUUCUUAUUGAUUUGCAGAAGCUAUUUACAUAUUAUGGAUGUGGGGUGUCUAACAUACACAGCAAAUACUUUCUCCCAGUGUGUCACUUUUUAAAAAAAUUCUUAUAAUGUCUUUCAUCUUUAAAAAAUUAUUAAGCUAUUGUGAGCUUUUAUGCCUUUUCAGUUUAUUUUCUUAAAUAGAUAAUUAUAUGACGUGCAAAUAGGGGCAGUGUUAGUCUCAUCUUCCCAAGGCUGCACCUCAGAUGUGGAAUGUUGACAGCAACAUCUGUUACCUUGUUUCUGUUUUUAGGAUUUUAGCGUUAAGGCCAGGCAUAACGGUUCAUGCCUGUAAUUCCAGCACUUUGGGAGGCCGAGGUGGGCAGAUCACUUGAAGCCAGGAGUUCAAGACCAGCCUGGCCAACAUGGAGAAACCCUCUCUAUUUUUAAAUACAUUUAAAAUGUUAACAAUUAAAACAAAAUAUUUUACCGUUAGUAUGAUGCUUGAUACAGGAUUUCUGGUACAUACUCCUUAUCAAAUUAAAUAAGUUUCCUUUUACUCUUGUUUAUUGUUAUUUUUUAAAAUAAGGAAUGAAUCUUGGAUUUUAGUGUAUCAAUAAUUAUAUUUUAUUCUUUAACUUCAUAAUAUUCCUUAUAAUUCCUUAUGUCAUAUUAAAGAUGUAAAUUCAUAUAUAUUUUAUCAUACAAAUGAUUAAUAAAUGUAUAAGCAUGUCAU